GACGAACGCUGGCGGCGUGCUUAACACAUGCAAGUCGAACGGUAAGGCCCUUCGGGGUACACGAGUGGCGAACGGGUGAGUAACACGUGGGUGAUCUGCCCUGCACUUCGGGACAAGCCUGGGAAACUGGGUCUAAUACCGGCUAGGACCAAUGCCUGCAUGGGGGGUGGUGGAAAGCUUGUGUGGUGUGGGAUGGGCCCGCGGCCUAUCAGCUUGUUGGCGGGGUGAUGGCCUACCAAGGCGAGGACGGGGAGCCGGCCUGAGAGGGUGACCGGCCACACUGGGACUGAGAUACGGCCCAGACUCCUACGGGAGGCAGCAGUGGGGAAUAUUGCACAAUGGGCGCAAGCCUGAUGCAGCGACGCCGCGUGAGGGAUGACGGCCUUCGGGUUGUAAACCUCUUUCAGCACCGACGAAGCGCAAGUGACGGUAGGUGCAGAAGAAGGACCGGCCAACUACGUGCCAGCCGCCGCCGUAA
rnacentral:rRNA from 1 species